rnacentral:lncRNA from 1 species
AGCAGUAUCCCUGUCAACUCCCUCUUAUGUACACCUCGGUGCAACAGUGGAUCCCUCCUACAGGAUGAAUACUUCUGCAAUGCAGCGAUAUGCUCCUCGUCUAGAUGAAUUGAACUACACAAGGUUCGCUACCCCAGGGCCUGAGCCACCCAUGGGAAAUCAUACAAGGAUGGCUACUCCAGGGCCUGAGCCAUUCAUGGGAAAUCACACAAGGAUGGCUACUCCAGGGCCUGAGCCAUUCAUGGGAAAUCACACAAGAAUGGCAACUCCAGGGCCUGAGCCACCUAUGGGAAAUCACACAAGGAUGGGUACUCCAGGGCCUGAGCCACGCAUGGGAACUCAAAAUGCCUUUUAUGAUCCAAGAGGCCCUUCCUUUUAUGAUCUUAGAGGCCCUCCCGUUCCCGAUCCUAGAGCCACCCGACCUUCCCACCCAAUGGCUUUCGC